GGGCUUGACAUCCCACGAACCUGCCCGAAAAGGUGGGGUGCCCGCAAGGGAGCGUGGAGACGGGUGGUGCAUGGCUGUCGUCAGCUCGUGUCGUGAGAUGUUGGGUUAAGUCCCGCAACGAGCGCAACCCUCACCCCUAGUUGCCACCGGGUUAAGCCGAGCACUCAAGGGGAACUGCCAGCGUCAAGCUGGAGGAAGGCGGGGAUGACGUCAAGUCAUCAUGCCCCUUACGCCCUGGGCUACACACGUGCUACAAUGGCCAGCACAAAGGGACGCGAGACUGCGAAGUGGAGCUAAUCCCAAAAAGCUGGUCUAAGUUCAGAUCGCAGUCUGCAACUCGACUGCAUGAAGGAGGAAUCGCUAGUAAUCGCGCAUCAGCCCGGCGCGGUGAAUACGUUCCCGGGCCUUGUACACACCGCCCGUCACACCACGAAAUCUGUCUGUACUCGAAGUCGCUGAG
rnacentral:rRNA from 1 species